rnacentral:rRNA from 1 species
GGCUACCGGCGCACGGGUGAGUAACGCGUAUGCCACUUAGCCUAUCACAGGGGGAUAGCCCGGCGAAAGUCGGAUUAAUACCCCAUAAAACAGGGGUCCCGCAUGGGAAUAUUUGUUAAAGAUUCCUCGCUGAUAAAUAGGCUUGCGUUCCAUUACGCCUGUGGCGGUGUAACGGCCCACCACACCCACCAUGGAUAAGGAUUCUGAGAUGAAGGGCCCCCACAUUGGUACUGAUACACGACACCAAACUCCUACGGAAGGCAACAGUGAGGAAUAUUGGUCAAUGGUCGAGAGGCUGAACCAACCAAGUCGCGUGAAGGAAGAAUGAUCUAUGGUUUGUAAACUUCUUUUAUAAGCUAAUAAAGUGGAGGACGUGUCCUUUUUUGUAUGUACCCUAUGAAUAAUCAUCACGCUAACUCCGUGCCAGCAGCCGCGGUAAUACGGACGAUGCCAGCGUUAUCCGGAUUUAUUGGGUUUAAAGGGUGCGUAGGUGGUGAUUUAAGUCAUCGCUGAAAUUUUGUGCCUCACCCAUAACAUUGCCGUUGAAACUGAGUUACUUGAAUGUGUUUGAAGUACGCGGAAUGCCUGGUGUAUCGGUGAAAUGCAUAAAUAUCACGCAUAACUCCGAUUGCCAACGCAGCUUACUAUGACAUAGCUGACACUGAGGCACGAGAGCGUGCGGAUCAAACAGGAUUAGAUAUCCUGGUAGUACACGCAGUAUACGAUGAUUAGUAGGAGUUGGCGAUACAAUGUAAGCUAGUACAGCGAAAAGCGUAUAGUAAUCCACGUGGGGAGUACGCCGGCAGCGGUGAAAAUCAAAGGAAUUGACCGCAGGCCCGCACAAGCGGAGGAACAUGUGGUUUAAUUCGAUGAUACGAGAGGAACCUUAUCCGGGUAUGAAGGUAGUCUGACCGGAGUGGAAACACUUUUUCUAGCAAUAGCAGAUUAGGAGGUGCAUGCAUGGUUGUCGUCAGCUCGUGCCGUGAGGGGUCGGAUUAAGUCCCAUAACGAGCGCAACCCUUAUCACUAGUUAGUAACAGGUGAAGAUGAGGACUCUGGUGAGACUGCCAGCGUAAGGUGUGAGGAAGGUGGGGAUGAUGUCAAAUCAGCACGGCCGUUACAUCCGGGGCGACACACGUGUUUCAAUGGCAGGGACAAAGGGCAGCUAGGUGGAGACAGGAUGUUAAUCUCCAAACCAUGUAUCAGUUAGGAUGGGAGUCUGCAACUUGAAUUCGGGAAGCUGGAUUCGCUAGUAAUAGCGCAUCAGCCAGGGCGCGGUGAAUACGUUCCCGGACCUUGUACACCCCGCCAGUCAAGCCAUGGGAGCCGGGGGUACGUGAAGUCCGUA